rnacentral:rRNA from 1 species
AUGGCAACGGGUGACACCCUCCGCAAAGUCGACAACCACGACUGGUAUGGUUAUAUCGGCAGCGCCCCCUACCCCGACGAGAUCGGCAAUGGCCAGUGGGCUGCCUUCCAUCACGUCCACCGGGCUGGCGAGCCGUCGGGUUCCGUAGGUGCUGUUGUGUACCGUGGGAAGAAUGGCGAAGGGGAGCAGAAGGACUAUCUUGUUGCAUGGAGUACUCCAUGGGGCAUGUGGUACCGCAACAAGGCUUAUUGCGAGAUCGGUGCCGUCAAUUGCUACCAAAAUCUUUGGGCUGGUAUGUACAAUAGAGUGGCCAAUUCUGAUUAUUCUUCGAGUGCUAGAUCCAACGGGUGUGAGAUUGAUGCAAGAAUUGAAACAGGCGAUAGCCCAAAAUUUACUGCAAAAAUCACCGUCCGCUGA